GAGGACCGUGACAAGACCUGGCUGUGCACGUGUAGACGCCCACCCUCGUGCACAUCUGCAAAGCACCGACCAAAGCAAAUAAGUAAACGAGCGGAAGGAAGAAAUCUCAACCUCCCUGAACUGAUGGAGGUGCCCAUUACCAAGGAAUGCUCCUUCCUGUCCUCUACUUCCUGUGGGUGGGGGUGCACCUGGAGACACUCUUUCUCCUGGUGAGGAUGCUGCCGUGGGCUGCCAGGGCCUGGCUCCUGCGGGCCUCGCCCCACCCGCGGACUUGUCUGCACAGGUCCCACUUCCCAGGCCACACGGGCACCAAGGGUGUAUCCUGGAAGGGUGUUGGCCAAGGGACAGGGCCAGGCAAGCGGAGCCCUGCUGUCCUGAGGAGCAGGAUCCUCUCCUGAAGUGACCACUACUCCCAGCCAGUGGGCAAGCCGAGGGCUCCAUUCUUAGCGGUCUGAGAGCUGCCAGCUGCGGGCUGUGGGCAGAGGCCUGGGCUCUGAGUCAUGCCCGUUUCCCCUGGAGGUGAGUGGGUGGCUGACCCUGCAGGUGGAACAGGAUGGGGAACCUUCUUCCCCGAUCUCCUGACUCCUGAGUGGUCGGACACAACUCCAGACGACCUGCCAGAGCCUGUCCAUCCUGGGGAGCCCGGGUGUGCAGGAGGCCUCCCGUACGCCCCGGCCUCCCGUACGCCCCGGCCUCCAGUAGCCACCCCAUCUUGAGGAUCCCGGCUGCCUUCCUCAUUCCUAGUCCUCUGCUGCCACCUCGGCAAGAUGAGGUCCUCGUCCCCUGCCUGCUCCAGCCUCAGGUCAGCUGCCCAAGGUGGACCUCAUCCCUCCCUUCCUCAGUCCAGCUGUAUGGGCCCAUCCCGAACCCACCAGGAUCCUUCUUGCAGGACAAGGCCAGUCUGUCAAGGUCAUGCAACUGGUCCGUGCCCACUGCUCCCUCCUGGCCCCUCUGGACCCUCCCUUCUCCCUCUCUGGCUCUCUGAGAGGCCCUGUUGUGGCCCUUCUCGGUGUCCAUUCGCCAGCCUUGGUGGCCCUCCUCUCAGGCACCCACCCAGCUCCAGGGCCUCAGGCCCCUGGAAGCCCUUGUCUCCAGCAAACCUGACCUGAGGCCCCAGCCCUUCCAGGCCCGGGGCUUGGUGCCAGGACCCCGGGCCUCUGCAGGAGGUCCAGGCACUAGCCUGACCCCUCCAGGUCCUCAGGGCUAGCGGGUGUGGCGCUGAGCUGGGCGCGCACCCUUGAUGUGGUCACUAGCACUGUGUCCUCCGGGGUCCGUCCUUAAACUCCAGGAGCAAACCUGUGCCUCCCAGGACAGGAGGGCAGCAGACGGAGCAGGGAUGGAGGAGGGGCACAGAGGACAAGUGCAUGCAGGUGUGAACAGCGUCCCCACUGCCGCCGGACUAGAGUGACAACGUGAAGUUCUCUGGAGAUUGCCAAGUAUCCUCUGGAAUUCAGUCACCGCAGGUGGUGGCUGUUCUACCUGUGGCCCGGCUACCGUUGCCUCCCAAGCCUAAGCCUGACCAAGGACAGGAGGAUGACACCUCCCCAGCCACAGCUCCCUGCUCAGAGAGCCCCAUCUGCCCCAUUCUUUCCUGGGGGUGAAGGAGCCCACUGUGGAGAUGCCCCCAGAAGAGCCGAGCGGGCAGGCCUGCAGCUGUAAGGAUGACCGAGGCAGUCAGCUGGACAGCCUGGGACAGAGGUCCUCGAGAGGAAAGGGCACCACCCCGGGCGUUGAGGCUGAGGCUUCUGCAGGCCUGCAGGGCCCCCCAAGCCUGUCACUGGGACCCUGGAAUGGUGACUGCUGCUGUUGCUGCCCGCACAUCCGGGGCCCCCAGACCAGAACCAGCCUGCUCACAGGGCCAGUUCCCUUUUGGCUUAACGCUGACGCGCCUGGUGGGACCUGAGCCUGUUCCUCUGCGGGCACUCUGCCUUGUUACUCUCUGAAAUCAUGAGUAAGUAGGACUGGGCAGGGCACAGAUCGGCUCCCAGGGGCCGCCUCAGACCCACGCAUGCUCAGAGGUGACCUGUGAAGGGACCGAGUCAUGACUGUCGCACACAGAGAGAAGGAUGGCACGUGUUUGGGGGGAAAUCCGUCAGAGGUUGGCGAGGUCGAGGGAGAAGGAAAAGGCACGAGUGGACGUGGAGCAAUGGCCCCUCAGGGAUGGGGUGCCUGCUCACGUUGGGGUCCCCGCUGCCCACCACGCCCUCCUGCUCGGUGGCCGCCAUGGCGUGGUGGGCUGCACUGCCGGGACCUGUCCUGUGCACCUGUGUCCUCUACAGCCACCACUGUCCACGACGUGCCCAUGAUGGGGCCCCUCCCCCACCCACCGUGCACCUCCAGCGAAGACCCACAGCUCUGUCCUUGGGGACGGUGGGUCAAGGGUGUGUGGGGUGCAGAGCCCGGCACAGGGCAGGCCUCCCGGGUCUGAUGAUGGCAACGAGCCGCCCACUUUACAGAGGUCCACAGGGUGCGGGCUCGGGGGCAACCCCGGGUUUGCAGAGGGCAGAGGUGGGGGCAGCCUGGUGGGGCAGGAGGGAGGCCGGGGAGGCGUGAUGUGGUGGGGGAGUCUCCUAUGGAGAAGGAUGACAUCAGAGGACAGGGCAGCAGCUGGAUCCCGCAGAUGUGGGCAGGUACUGGGCUGGCCCUCCCCGCACUGGGUACCCUCUGUCCUGUGGUGCUGAGCAGCCGGUGCCCACCUCCUGGCCACUGUGCAGCAGGGCCCAGCUCUCUGCUGUGCUGUUGGGGAACAGCUGUGUCCCAGGGGCAAGGGUCCUGAGGAGGCCCCCGGAGGGGGAUGGACCUCAACUCAGGCCAUAAGGGUCCUUGGCGUCAUCACGGAAAGGACUCUCAGGACAGGUGAAAGCGAGGCCAGGCUGACCUCCCUGAGAGAGGAAGCCCGCUCUGAGAGGGUGCAGAGUGGGCGUCGGGCAGCGGAGCUGUGCGGGCCAGGCUCGCAGCGCCGUCAGAUCAGCAUGGCAGACAGAGGGCGGGGGGGUGUUUCCAGCGGGCCCCUGGGCUGCGACUGGGCAGCUGACCACAGGGCUGAUUUCCUCAUUGCCGAUGUGUCCUGCUCUGCGCACACGGUCCCUCUGUGCGCCUGGGCGUGAGGCCUCGUGGUUGACUCAGCUGCUGUGUGUGACCAAGCGUGUGCACGUGCCUGGAGGUCUGGGUUGGAGUGUGGCCCCUCUUGGUGGCCCCACAAGCCUCCUCUCCACCCGUCCUUAAGUCCAUCCUCCUUCAGUGCAGCCCUGGGGCCUGCGGCACCUCCUCAGUGGGCAGUGGGCAGUGUCUUGACACUGGCCCAUCCCCCGUGGCCCAGGCUGGAGCCCCUGCCCUCUGCUGGGCACUCACGUGGUCUCAGGUGGUCUCAGGGCUCAGCAGAGUCUGGCUGGGGUCGGCCAUGGCCCCCGGGGCUGGGCAUUCUCUCGGGCCUGGGCUGUAGUGGACUGGGACCUCUAACCCAGGGAUUUUCAGGACACGCAUGUGUGUUCCUUCUUCCCCAACAUCUGCACGGCCGGCGGGAGCCCCAGACGCUGGGACACUGGGGCUGGUCUUCCAGAGAAGCACAUUCCAAGUCUUCACUCUUGACCGUGGCUGAGGGGUCAAGCCUGUGUCCAUGGCUCCCAGAGAAGCAAACAGAAGCAAUCCCUCCCCUCGGCACGGGACGCCCACCUGGCCAGCACUGGCCAGCACUCGCCAGCCGAGGUCCUGAGGGCUUGGCCAUCCAUCUCUCAGCAUUCAUUAGGCACCUACUACAUGCUCCACAGGGAGAGCUAGAGGCAGAUUGUGCAUCAUCCCUCUGGUUCAGAGAAGACGCUGGGUCCAGGAUGAGCUGAAGAGCCCUGCCACCGGCCCAGCGCCCACGGCUCCCACGGCCCCACGGCCUCCACGGCCCCCAUGGCCCCUGACCCCCA